rnacentral:lncRNA from 1 species
GGGAGGGAGGGAGGCCGCGGGAGCUGGAAGGCUGGCGGAAGCUGUGUCACAGCGCGCCCCUGCGCCCACCACCCAGACAAGAGAGAUCUAAGUCAGGCGUUGGGCAGGAGAUGGAGCUGAGGCAGGAGACUCGCUUGAACCCAGGAGGCCGAGGUUGCGGUGAGCCAAGAUCGAGCCAUUGCACUCCAGCCUGGGCAACAAAAGCGAAACUCUGUCUCAAAAAAAAAAAAAAAAAAAAAAAAAAAGCAUAGGAGGCAUUCUCAGUGUUCCAUUAUUAAGUAUGAUGUUUGCAGGGAGCAUUCGGUAGAUAUGUUUAUCAGAUUUAGAAAGCUCCCUCCCAUUCCUAGUGUGCUAUAUGUUGAAUUUUUAUAAAAUGCUUUUUCUGAAUGCAUUAAUAUGAUCACAGGGUUUUCCUCCUCUAAUCUGUUAAUGUGGCAAAUUACAUUAAUUCAUUUUUAAAUGUUAAACCACUCUUGUAUUUUCUGGACUAAACUCA